rnacentral:rRNA from 1 species
UACGUAGGUGGCAAGCGUUGUUCGGAAUCACUGGGCGUAAAGGGCGCGUAGGCGGCCGCUCAAGUCGGGGGUGAAAGCCUGUGGCUUAACCACAGAAUUGCCUUCGAUACUGUUUGGCUUGAGACCGGAAGAGGUGAGUGGAACUGCGAGUGUAGAGGUGAAAUUCGUAGAUAUUCGCAAGAACACCAGUGGCGAAGGCGGCUCACUGGUCCGGUUCUGACGCUGAGGCGCGAAAGCGUGGGGAGCAAACAGG